GGGGUGUGGCUCAGUGGUAGAGCAUUUUCCCAGCAGGCAUGAGGCCCUGGGUCAGUUCCCAGCACCCGCA
rnacentral:tRNA from 1 species